rnacentral:rRNA from 1 species
AUUGAACGCUGGCGGCAGGCCUAACACAUGCAAGUCGAGCGAGUGGCGGACGGGUGAGUAAUGUCUGGGGAACUGCCCGAUGGAGGGGGAUAACUACUGGAAACGGUGGCUAAUACCGCAUACCAUCGGAUGUGCCCAUAUGGGAUUAGCUAGUAGGUGGGGUAAAGGCUCACCUAGGCGACGAUCCCUAGCUGGUCUGAGAGGAUGACCAACCACACUGGAGAUGGGAAAAGGGCCCGGACCCUACGGGAGGGAGGAGUGGGGAAUAUUGCACAAUGGGGGGAAGCCGUAUGCAGCCAAGGCCGGUGGAUUAAGAAGGCCUUCGGGGUUGAAAGUACUUUUAGCGGGGAGGCGGUACCCGGAGAAGAAGCACCGGCUAACUCCGGUCCAACAGCCGCGGUAAUUA